rnacentral:rRNA from 1 species
UACGUAGGGUGCAGGCGUUAAUCGGAAUUACUGGGCGUAAAGCGUGCGCAGGCGGUCUUUUAAGUCAGAUGUGAAAUCCCCCGGGCUUAACCUGGGAACUGCGUUUGAAACUGGAAGGCUAGAGUGUGGCAGAGGGGGGUGGAAUUCCACGUGUAGCAGUGAAAUGCGUUAGAGAUGUGGAGGAACACCGAUGGCGAAGGCAGCCCCCUGGGCUAACACUGACGCUCAUGCACGAAAGCGUGGGGAGCAAACAGG